rnacentral:rRNA from 1 species
UGGGGAAUAUUGCACAAUGGGGGAAACCCUGAUGCAGCGACGCCGCGUGAGCGAAGAAGUAUUUCGGUAUGUAAAGCUCUAUCAGCAGGGAAGAUAAUGACGGUACCUGACUAAGAAGCCCCGGCUAACUACGUGCCAGCAGCCGCGGUAAUACGUAGGGGGCAAGCGUUAUCCGGAUUUACUGGGUGUAAAGGGAGCGUAGACGGCGAAGCAAGUCUGGUGUGAAACCCCGGGGCUCAACCUCGGGCCUGCAUUGGAAACUGUUUUGCUUGAGUGCCGGAGAGGUAAGCGGAAUUCCUAGUGUAGCGGUGAAAUGCGUAGAUAUUAGGAGGAACACCAGUGGCGAAGGCGGCUUACUGGACGGCAACUGACGUUGAGGCUCGAAAGCGUGGGGAGCAAACA